GUGGGGAAUUUUGGACAAUGUGCGCAAGCCUGAUCCAGCAAUGCCGCGUGCAGGAAGAAGGCCUUCGGGUUGUAAACUGCUUUUGUACGGAACGAAACGGUCCUGGUUAAUACCUGGGGCUAAUGACGGUACCGUAAGAAUAAGCACCGGCUAACUACGUGCCAGCAGCCGCGGUAAUACGUAGGGUGCAAGCGUUAAUCGGAAUUACUGGGCGUAAAGCGUGCGCAGGCGGUUUUGUAAGACAGGCGUGAAAUCCCCGGGCUCAACCUGGGAAUUGCGCUUGUGACUGCAAGGCUGGAGUGCGGCAGAGGGGGAUGGAAUUCCGCGUGUAGCAGUGAAAUGCGUAGAUAUGCGGAGGAACACCGAUGGCGAAGGCAAUCCCCUGGGCCUGCACUGACGCUCAUGCACGAAAGCGUGGGGAGCAAACAGGAUUAGAUACCCCUGUAGUCC
rnacentral:rRNA from 1 species